GGUAAAUGCACGACUUGCAAGCUGGCGCACCAGGUGAAAAGAGCGGCUGCGCCUGCAGAGACUUUCUUGCAAAAAUGCCUGUUUGGGAUUCCUCAGAGUACAGACAAAAAGGAAGGCUUGAUCAGCAUGUGGUGGAUCUGAAGAUUCAAAGAGGUGCCACAGCUCAAAAGUAGACAUUUUGGUAAAUGUGAAGAAGUGAGAUUCAAUGAAGAUGAUAAGAAAUGAAAAGUGUUACCAAAAGCAUCCUGUGGUGACUGAAGAAGGGCCUACCAGCGAAGGGACUCCAUCGCCUGAGGAGCAGCUUCCGCAGGAGCUCCGGCAGGUUCCUUGGAAAACGUGGCAGUGCCGGGCCCAUGGUGCCCUGUUCAGAAAUACAAGACUCAGAUUUAGUAAAGCCAGUUGUGUAAUGUGAAAUUCGUUUAAAAAAUCCUUAACCAACACAUUUCAUUUCAUAAGACCGAUGUAUUCUAUCAACAGUCUUUUACUGUAUGUUCAUACUUAACGGCAUUAAGAAUCACCGUGAUGGGCUGGUGACAUGCAUCUGGUUCAUCAAUGUUAGUGGCAAAGCUUCCAGCAUCUACAACUCUAGUCACC
rnacentral:lncRNA from 1 species